rnacentral:misc_RNA from 1 species
GAUGAAGAACGUAGCGAAAUGCGAUACUUGGUGUGAAUUGCAGAAUCCCGUGAACCAUCGAGUCUUUGAACGCAAGUUGCGCCCGAAGCCAUUAGGCCGAGGGCACGCCUGCCUGGGCGUCACACGUCGUUGCCCCCCCAUCUACUCCUUCGGGAUUGCGGGGGGCAGAUGAUGGCCUCUCGUGCGCCUCGUCGCGCGGUUGGCCUAAAUGCCAAGUCCUCGGCGACGCACGCCACGACAAUCGGUGGUUGCGAAACCUCGGUUGCCUGUCGUGUGCGGUCGUCGCGCAUCGAGGGCUCGAAAAAAUUGCCGGGCUUCGGCUCGACUUUCAACGCGACCCCAGGUCAGGCGGGGUUACCCGCUGAAUUUAAGCAUAUCAAUAAGCGGAGGA